UUUUUUUUUUUUUUUUGCUGUUUUGAUUUGACUUCUUUCAAAGAUAUUAAAAAUCUUACUGCGCCCCAAACUUUGAAAAGCAAAUAUUUCUAAAUAAGCACUAGAUAAAUAGCUGUUUUUUUUUAUUUUUUUUUUAAGUGUUGUUCAUUGUCCCUGCACACCUCGUGAUACCUAUUGCAUUAACUGUUAACCAGUUGAAUCUUAUUGUAGAGUGUGACCAAUGAUCUUGAAAAGGAAUCGGUUGACGCAUUAUAUUUAAUUUCCAAUUUGAGCUUCUAAAAUAAAUUUAGCAGAAAAUGUUCUUUCACUUGUCAAGCCUCAAACCACAGUCCCUUGAUAAAUCUUCAGGAGGGGUGGAGAGAACGAGCUAAGAUGAAGGCACACACCUGGCUGACAUUUUUUGGGACAUAAGAAUGAACUUUGGACCUGCAGAGGGAAGAAGGGAUGAAUAAAGGAGGUGGAGAGAAUGAACUCUCAUUCUGGAAGAAAACUCAUCCAGUUGUUUAUGAUAAAAGCAUUCCACUGCCUGUUUUAGAUGAUUUAGGAGUAAAUACCUAUGAGACGAAAGGUCACUGGUUACCCCGGUUCACCCAACGUGAAGAAAAACAAUGCUCUGUGAUGAUGCUGGAUGUGGAAGUGAUACAUAGGAGGUCAAAACAUAGUUUUAGUCAUGUAGUGUCUGUUUGUGAGUGACUUUCUGUUCUCCCAAGAUUCCCUAUAACCCCUGCGGUCAUACAUAGUGCUGUUGCGCCAGACAGUUGCUCCUUACUCUGACUUUUGGGUUGUUUUUUUUUUUAUUAUUUAUUUUGCAUAGAGCACUCUGUUUUAGGAAUGCCUGUAGCGUGUUCAAAAGGAAAAAGUAUGUCUGCUUUGUGAAAGUAUGCACGACUGUGCCGAUCUCUCGCUGAAAAUAGUGCCGUUCUAGAAUGCCGAGACCAUAUUGAGAACAGGCUGGAAUGAAAAAACAAGGCUACGGCAAUUCAAUGGGGGUCAAGGGGUGGGUGAGGAAUCAGUCGACAAGUGAAUUGAGCAGCAAUAUAGUAAAGUUUGCUUUACAAAGAGGGGAAAAAGAAAUCAUAUCUAACUGUUACAUAUCCACACAUUUCAUGUGAAGCUUCAUGGUCUGCUUUAUGUAGUAACAUGUCAAGAAUAAAGUUCUUAUAAGUUCCAUUCAUAGCAUUACAUAAACAGACACGUAAAGGCAGGAGGAUACAACAGGAAGGAAGAUGGAGAGUUGAUGAGAAGUGAAAGAGAAAGAAAAACAGAAUGAGCAAGUGUGAGAAAGACAAGGCCAGUGGAGAAUAAUUGGUGAAAGAAACAGGUAGGAAGCGAAGUGGAGAAGAAGCAAGAGGGGGGAAAAGACACGAAAGCCUGAUUGCAGGUAGUUGGCUUAUUGUUGUCUCUUUAUUGUAACGUCAGUCUCUGCGGGUUUCUGCUCCCGAGGUCAUGAAGCAAGAUGACAGUUAAAAGCCCCUCUGGAGGAAACUGGGGGAUAGAAAAACUUCCACUGUCACUUAAGAGCUCGGCCUUCAGCGUCUCAAUACUUACAUACUCACACACAGCAGAUAGACUCUUUUGGUUCUCAGGUGGUUAUAUGCACAUUUUCUCUUUGUUUUGCAGUGUUUAACAUUACUCAAGUCAUGCUCAUUUGUCUCCCGCUGAACGUCAUGAUAUGCUCACUAUAAGGCAGCCAUCACAAUUCAGCCUUGAAAAUGUGAUUUCAUUGGCUUGUUAUCUUACACUUGAAGUUUGCGAAGCUCAGGAGCCAAAAUUUGUCCAGCAAACUCUCAUGCCAAUUCGUAACCAUUUUACACGCUGGGGAAUUCAUACAGUACGCACUCUACAUUUGCACGUUUUAGAAGCCUAUUAUCUCUUCAGCGUUUAGGUUAAGGGUGGACCUCCAUGUUACGGUUUUCUAAAAAUCACACUGUACACAUUCAUACAAAAUCACCACCUCGUAAAAUAGUUACGCUUUCUCAUGAGAUCGGGUUGGUUUGUCCCUGGAGCACCCCUAGUCAUAUUACGAAUUAUCAGGGAAGAAGUGGUUUAGAAAUAUUGAUGAUGUGUAAAUGUGAUUUUUGAGGGCAAUAUUUUGAUUAGUAAUAUUCUAUCUUAAACUAUUCUGACCAUCUCCCACUCUCCCCUAAAAAUAAAUAAUUAAAACCUUUAAAUGCGUCCCUUAUAGAUAAUCUCUGUCGUUUGAGGGGAUUUGCCUGGAGAAAUAUUAGUAAGUAGCACAUUGUACAUUUUUGGUUAAUAAUAAAAGUGUCUUCAGUUUCGCCUUUACAUUUGUUGGUGAGCCAAAUGAAUGCCAAAAAAAAACAAGUGAAUUGCCUAUCCUUUAUAUUUGCAUUAAGUAAUAAUUGACCAAAUCCUAUAGAGUUAGCGCACAAUCAAUGAGUAUAAUGUUAGCCUUAUGCAACUUUAUGCCUUUUUGAUAUUCACUCACGCCAGCUGCACUCUGUAGUCUUUCCUCUGUCAUUCCAUUUUCCUUGUCAUUGUGUUUCACAUCUCUAAAAUGGCUACAGACGUAAAAUGAUCUUGUGGUGCGUGUGACAGAGAGAUGAAACGCUCAUCUGGGCCGGAACACGUGCAGCCUCCCUCUUCUUCUGCCACUCACGCGCUGUUCCUCGAAGAUGCCCUGAUUCAAACACACCCGUCUCCCACGCUCCGUUCAGCCACGAUUUUCCCUCGCUGUCGUCUCCACAGCGAGCUUGUGUAGGGAGGGCUUGGCAACCGGGUGUCAUGGAAACUGAGCCGUGUUAGUCUGAGUUGCGAGCCUUUUCUUAUCUUAGCUGCUCGCAUACAAGAAGCAUCACGCACAUGCAGCACAACAGAGCCCAAACAUCAGGUUCUACAGCUCAAAACUUAACCGGUGUACUGAUUAUGUUUCUUAAUUUCAUUCUCGUGUAAAAGAUAUGAGGUGUGCAUUUGUUUUUUGUUUUUUUGUCCCACCCCAUGCCCUCCUCUUUCCUUCUCUGACUGAAGUUGAGUAACGCUACAGGUGCUGUUGUCUCUGUUUUUCUUCUUUCUGCUUUUCUCUCUUUACACUUCUGCUUUAAUUUAUUGUGCUGUUUUCCUAAGGCUAAUUUGCUACUGUUGCUGAUAACAUCGUUUCCUUUUUGGUAAUAUUUAUCCUUCUAAUUUCUGUUAAGUUUAGUCACAGCUAAUGUAACAAAACACACUGUGAUGAUUCCAGUAUUAAUAAAAGUUGUA
ensembl:lncRNA